rnacentral:rRNA from 1 species
AUGACAAGAAGUUUAUAUUCUGGUCCUCAUUGGAGCACGCAAGCCGCUUUCAAUGAUGACUCGUGGAGAAACCCUACAUCGUUUUCACCAUCAUCUUCCCUCCUCGUCAUCAUCGAAGGAGGUUGCCGGUCAAAGCACGAGCGGUGGACGACGGUGGUGAGGUCUUUCCCCGUAGUCAGUUCAUCGAGCGAUCCAGGGUGUGUGGUGGUAUCAAUCAGUGUGCAUCAAGCGGAGGAAGGGUGGCAAAACCAGGGUUUGGUCACGGAGGUGCCCACAAUCCACAUGGAGCAACGGAGGCCUGAGAGGUGA